rnacentral:lncRNA from 1 species
UGGAGUUUCUUCAAAAAUGGAGUUGGUUGGGCUUUACAGUCUUCAAGUGUUACAGCUCUACACAAAGGACAUAGACAUUAGUCACCAGGCAUAAGCUGGGAUGAUCAGAUCACUACAGAGUUCCUCUGCCAUGCUUCAUACCCACACUGAACACCGUGGAAAGAUCUGGAGAUUGCUGUGAGUGAGCACAUUGCAUCUUGGAGCAGGUCAGCUUUGCUCAUCCAGGGAGAGAUAGUGUGAGCGGAGGCACCACCCACUGGAAAGCAUAGACUCCCCUGUGUCUAAAGCCACGUGUGGCCCAAACACCAGUGCUGUGCUUCCCUAGGAAACUGAUUUUGACACUGUCACUGUGAGCAGGCCUCCCAAGGAUAUCAACUGAACCCAGGAUAACAAGAUACAAGAAGACAAGGCACAAGCCCUCACAUCAAGGCUGGGUGAGGCAACCCAGUAGGAGGAAAAUGUCCCAAGACCAGGCAGAAGAGUCAGAGAUGCCCCCACUCACACUGCUAGGAGUCCCACGGAAACCAAGCUACAAACAUAACGUACAUGCAGAGGACCUAGCUCAGACCUAUGCAGGCUCUGCGAUUCCUGCUUCAGUCUCUGAGAGCCCCAUGAGUCCUGCUGAUCUGAUCUUGUGCUUCCUUCCUCCCCCUCUUCAAUGGAGUUCCCCGAGCUAGGUCUAAUGAUUGGCUGUGGGUCUCUGUGUCUGUUCCCAUCAGUUACUGGAUGAAGCCUCUCUGGUGAUGACUGGGCUAGACACCGAUCUAUGAGUAUAGCAGAUUAUCAUUAAGAAACCAUUGACACCCCUUCCCAGUGGCCUUUAACUUCAAGGUGCUAGGAGACACACCAAAGCAGGUUCUGAUGGGCUGAGCUCUGGCCUGCAGGGCUCGACUGAGGCCUCAGCGUGGCAGAACACUGGCUAGCUGUUGCCGGGAGCAUGGAAAAUCAAGUUCCCUCCUGUGUAGACAGAGAGAAUAUUGUUUUGUUUUUAUGCUGGUCAAAAGUCUUCAUGACCGGCUUGCUUGCUUCUCUUGUUGCCAAAUUCUGGGCAUUCUGCCAAGGACCUGCUGCCAUAUUGGAGGAUGAUUAUUUAAGCCCCUUUGGGCUGAAGUCUGCUUGGAGAUAAAACAUAUGCACACCUUUGGAUUGACAUGGGAUGUAUGGAAAUAGUUUAUUAUUAACUGGAUACAUUCUCAUAUUCUAUCCCCCCUACCCCCUACUGGUCCAGGGCCUCUUGCAUGGUGGGUAAAUGCCUACCACUUAAGCCAAUCCCAGCCCUCUUUUCUCUUUUUAAAAAUAUGAUAUAUAGGAGACCUUUAGUCCCAGCACUCAGGAGGCAGAGGCAGCAGAUCUCUGAGUUCAAGCCCAGCCUGGUCUACAAAGUGAGUUCAUGGCUACACAGUAAAAUCUGUCUCAAAAAGAAAAAAAACCCUGAAAUAUAUAUAUCUGUAUGUAUAAUACAUAAAUAUAUAUGUAUAUGUUUAUCUAUAUACAUGUAUAUAUGUAUAUACGUAUGUGUAUGUACAUACACAUACGUAUAUACAUACAUACAUACUUACAUAUAUGAAUAAAUGUCAUUGCUGGGCAGGACCUCUGAACAGGAGAAACCAUUUCCUGGGCAGUAGGGUAGGCUUGGAGCAGACAAGAUGGGUGAGAAUUACGCAGCUCCAAGAGUAAAGAAGGCUUAAGAAGCCUUGACUCAUUUACAAUGUCCCAUGCCAUUUCCGUUCUAAAAGGUUUUAAUGGGAAGACACAGGGAUGCUAUUCUAUUCUGGAAAUAUGCAUGGAAGAUUCUUGUAAUAGUUAGCACUUUGUUUGAUUUGUAGUUCCAGGUUAGCACAAAAUAAAACUUAAGCCAUCUGCGUGC